UGCCUUGGGCUGAACUGAAUGCAAAGGGG
rnacentral:piRNA from 1 species